rnacentral:rRNA from 1 species
CGUGUAGGCGGGUCGGCAAGUCAGGCGUGAAAUCCCCAGGCUCAACCUGGGAACUGCGCUUGAAACUGCCGGUCUUGAGUAUCGGAGAGGGUGGCGGAAUUCCUGGUGUAGAGGUGAAAUUCGUAGAUAUCAGGAGGAACACCGGUGGCGAAGGCGGCCACCUGGACGAUUACUGACGCUGAGACGCGAAAGCGUGGGGAGCAAACA